rnacentral:rRNA from 1 species
AGUGAACGCUGGCGGUAGGCCUAACACAUGCAAGUCGAACGGCAGCACAGUAAGAGCUUGCUCUUACGGGUGGCGAGUGGCGGACGGGUGAGGAAUACAUCGGAAUCUACUUUUUCGUGGGGGAUAACGUAGGGAAACUUACGCUAAUACCGCUUACGACCUACGGGUGAAAUCAGGGGAUCUUCGGACCUUGCGCGAUUGAAUGAGCCGAUGUCGGAUUAGCUAGUUGGCGGGGUAAAGGCCCACCAAGGCGACGAUCCGUAGCUGGUCUGAGAGGAUGAUCAGCCACACUGGAAAUGAGAACAGGUCCGGACUCCUACGGGAGGCAGCAGGGGGGAAUAUUGGACAAUGGGGGCAAGCCUGAUCCAGCCAUACCGCGUGGGUGAAGAAGGCCUUCGGGUUGUAAAGCCCUUUUGUUGGGAAAGAAAAGCAGCAGGUUAAUAACCUGCUGUUCUGACGGUACCCAACGAAUAAGCACCGGGUAACUUCGUG